AAUACGUUCCCGGGCCUUGUACACACCGCCCGUCACACCACGAAAGCCCGUUGCAACAGAAGUCCUCCCUUGAGGAGGCCUAAGUUGUGGCUGGUGAUCGGGGUG
rnacentral:rRNA from 1 species